AGUUCUAAAUUAUGAAUUAUUUCAUGAGCGUUGUAUUCAUGAGAAUAAGAGAAGACUGAAUAACAUUCCCAAGAACAGGAUGUGAAUGAAGCCUACAUAUACAUAAAUCAAGAUAACACAGCUUUAUAAUUAAAUUGAAACAAAAGUUAGGCGUUCGCUAAAGCUUGGAGAGUCGCGGCGAUUAAAACACCAAACUGUUGGGUGAGCUGUCAGAUUCAAUUGCUCACAGGUGGGUGAUAGACUCAAAAUGCAGAGCAAGUAAGAAGGGAGAUUUAUAAACUAUGGAUUAUACCAUUGUUACAGCUGCAUCUUAGAAGCGAUAGACUGUAAGGAAAACAAAUGUUGUAGCGGUAACUGACAAUGAAACUGAAGAACAUAAAGGACUAUAUGAAGUAUGUAUGCCUAAGAUCAAGAUGGAGGCCUGGGGAGGCGACAAAGGGGGGAAAAAGAAAGAGCGGGAAACAAAACAAAAGGACAGUGAUAGAGGAAGUGAGCCAGGAUUAAGAACUUUAAAUAAUAUUUUUUUCAUACAUUUCCACCACUAUCUAUUUUAAAAGUAAUUUUGUAAAUUCUGAUUGAAUUGAUAUAUAUCUAUAAAAUAAUUUUACAGUGAA